GAAGUGCGAUAAGCAAUGCGAAUUGCAGAACCGUGAGUCAUCAGAUCUUUGAACGCAACUGGCGCCUAUUGGAAUCCCAGUAGGCAUGCUUGUUUCAGUGUCUCAUUCUCUCCUCACCUAUAUCAUAAUGCUUGAGAUACCCUUCUCUUGCUAAACAUGAAAGCACUCUGCACUCUGCAAGCAGCUUCUUUUGAGGCUUGCAACUCAAUGCAGCAGUCACAUUUCACAAUGUGAACUCAUUGAGAGUAGAGGCAGCGCAGCCUAGCUGUAAGUGCUUAGACACCUAAUCUUUACUUGCAUCUGAAAUCAAGCAGGAUCACCCGCUGAACUUAA
rnacentral:misc_RNA from 1 species